UGGUCCCUACGGGAGGCAGCAGUGGGGAAUAUUGCACAAUGGGGGGAACCCUGAUGCAGCGACGCCGCGUGGGUGAAGGAGCACCUCGGUGCGUAAAGCCCUGUCGGCAGGGAAGAAGCAAGACGGUACCUGACUAAGAAGCCCCGGCUAACUACGUGCCAGCAGCCGCGGUAAUACGUAGGGGGCGAGCGUUAUCCGGAUUCACUGGGUGUAAAGGGAGCGUAGACGGCCAUGCAAGCCAGGGGUGAAAGCCCGGGGCCCAACCCCGGGACUGCCCUUGGAACUGCAUGGCUGGAGUGCGGGGG
rnacentral:rRNA from 1 species